CGCGUAGGCGGCUUAUCAAGUCAGGCGUGAAAUUCCCGGGCUCAACCUGGGGGCUGCGCUUGAUACUGAUGAGCUUGAAUGCGGGAGAGGAUAGUGGAAUUCCCAGUGUAGAGGUGAAAUUCGUAGAUAUUGGGAAGAACACCGGUGGCGAAGGCGGCUAUCUGGCCCGUAAUUGACGCUGAGGCGCGAAAGCGUGGGGAGCAAACA
rnacentral:rRNA from 1 species